rnacentral:rRNA from 1 species
CGCGGGAUUAGAGUUUGAUCCUGGCUCAGAACGAACGCUGGCGGCACGCCUAACACAUGCAAGUCGAGCGCCCAGCAAUGGGAGCGGCGGACGGGUGAGUAACACGUGGGAACAUGCCUUUCGGUACGGAACAACUGCGGGAAACUGCAGCUAAUGCCGUAUACGCCCUUACGGGGAAAGAUUUAUCGCCGAAAGAUUGGCCCGCGUCUGAUUAGCUAGUUGGUGAGGUAACGGCUCACCAAGGCUUCGAUCAGUAGCUGGUUUGAGAGAACGACCAGCCACAUUGGGACUGAGACACGGCCCAAACUCCUACGGGAGGCAGCAGUGGGGAAUCUUGGACAAUGGGGGAAACCCUGAUCCAGCGAUGCCGCGUGAGUGAUGAAGGCCUUCGGGUUGUAAAACUCUUUCGACGGGGACGAUAAUGACGGUACCCGUAGAAGAAGCUCCGGCUAACUUCGUGCCAGCAGCCGCGGUAAUACGAAGGGGGCUAGCGUUGUUCGGAAUUACUGGGCGUAAAGCGCGCGCAGGCGGCCAUUCAAGUCAGGGGUGAAAGCCCAGAGCUCAACUCUGGAACUGCCUUUGAAACUGUAUGGCUUGAGUACGAGAGAGGUGAGUGGAAUUCCCAGUGUAGAGGUGAAAUUCGUAGAUAUUGGGAAGAACACCGGUGGCGAAGGCGGCUCACUGGCUCGUUACUGACGCUCAGGCGCGACAGCGUGGGGAUCAAACAGGAUUAGAUACCCUGGUAGUCCACGCCGUAAACGAUGAACGCUAGCCGUUGGGCAGCUUGCUGCUCAGUGGCGCAGCUAACGCAUUAAGCGUUCCGCCUGGGGAGUACGGCCGCAAGGUUGAAACUCAAAGGAAUUGACGGGGG